rnacentral:rRNA from 1 species
GAUGAACGCUGACAGAAUGCUUAACACAUGCCAGUCUUUGGCGAAGCUGUGCUUGCACAGCCUAGCCAAGGCGGACGGGUGAGUAACGCGUAAGGAACUUGCCCUGCAGUCAGGGAUAACAGACGGAAACGACUGAUAAGACCUGGUAAAGUCAGGCGGACUCAUGUCCAGCCUGAUGAAAAGAGAUGCUGCAGGAGAGCCUUGCGUCCUAUUAGCUUGUUGGUGGGGUAACGGCCCACCAAGGCGAUGAUAGGUAGCCGGCCUGAGAGGGUGGACGGCCACAAGGGGACUGAGAUACGGCCCUUACUCCUACGGGAGGCAGCAGUGGGGAAUAUUGGACAAUGGGGGCAACCCUGAUCCAGCAAUUCUGUGUGCACGAUGAAGGUUUUAGGAUUGUAAAGUGCUUUCAGCAGGGAAGAAAAAAAUGACGGUACCUGCAGAAGAAGCGACGGCUAAAUACGUG